UACGUAGGGUGCAAGCGUUGUCCGGAAUUAUUGGGCGUAAAGAGCUUGUAGGCGGUUUGUCGCGUCUGCCGUGAAAUUUCGAAGCUCAACCUCGAACUUGCGGUGGGUACAGGCAGACUAGAGUGUGGUAGGGGAGACUGGAAUUCCUGGUGUAGCGGUGAAAUGCGCAGAUAUCAGGAGGAACACCGAUGGCGAAGGCAGGUCUCGUGGGCCACUACUGACGCUGAGAAGCGAAAGCAUGGGGAGCGAACAGG
rnacentral:rRNA from 1 species